rnacentral:rRNA from 1 species
AACUUUGAAAGGCCUGUACUCACCCCAAGUAGGGCGGGACACGUGUUAUCCUGUCUGAAUCUGGGAGGACCAUCUUCCAAGGCUAAAUACUACCUAGUGACCGAUAGUGUAUAAGUACCGUGAGGGAAAGGUGAAAAGAACCCCGUUGAGGGGAGUGAAAUAGAUCCUGAAACCGCAUGCUUACAAGCAGUCGGAGCGUAAAGUGACGGCGUGCCUUUUGCAUAAUGAGCUAGCGAGUUAAUGUGGCGUGCAAGAUUAAGGUAUUUAGUACCGUAGUCGUAGUGAGAGCGAGGCUUAAUAGGCCGUUCAGUACGUCGCAUUAGACCCGAAACCCAGUGAUCUAUCCAUGAGCAGGUUGAAGCUGGGGUAACACCUAGUGGAGGACCGAACCCGUUGAAGUUGAAAAUUCUUGGGAUGACUUGUGGAUCGGAGUGAAAGGCUAAUCAAACUGGGUGAUAGCUGGUUCUCCUCGAAAUAUAUUUAGGUAUAGCGUCUGAUGUUUCUUAACGGGGGUAAAGCACUGAUUGGGCUAGGGGUCUUACCAGAUUACCAAACCCACUCAAACUCUGAAUACCGUUACAGUUAAGUCAGGCAGUCAGUCUUAUGGUGAUAAGGUCGUAAGACGAAAGGGAAAGAGCCCAGACCAUCAGCUAAGGUCCCAAAGACUACACUAAGUGGAAAACGAUGUGGAAAUGCGUAGACAGUCAGGAGGUUGGCUUAGAAGCAGCCACCCUUUAAAGAAAGCGUAACAGCUCACUGAUCAAGUGUUUCUGCGCGGAAGAUUUAACGGGGCUUAAGUGUAGCACCGAAGCUAUGGACUCGAAAGAGUGGUAGAGGAGCAUUGUAGCAACCGCUGAAGGUGUCAGGUGACUGAUGCUGGAGGAACUACAAGCGCAUAUGCUAGCAUAAGUAGCGAUAAGGGGAGUGAGAAACUCCCCCGCCGGAAGCCCAAGGUUUCCUGGGACAGGGUAAUCCUCCCAGGGUUAGUCGGUACCUAAGGCGAGGCCGAAAGGCGUAGUCGAUGGACAACGGGUUAAUAUUCCCGUACCGAUAAGUGGAGUGAUGCAGGGGUGAAGAAGGGUAGCUGAUCCUGUUAUUGGAUUCAGGUGCAAGCGAGUAGGCUUAGAACUUAGGAAAAUCCGGGUUCUUUUAAGGCCGAGACGUGAUGCGGUGGACUUAGGUCCUGAAGUCAGUGAUCCCAUGCUUACGAGAAAAGCUGCUAAACUAUGAAACUUAUUGACCGUACUGCAAACCAACUCAGGUGGGCAGGAAGAGAAUUCCAAGGCGUUUGAGUGAAACAUUGUUAAGGAACUCGGCAAAUUAACACCGUAACUUCGGGAUAAGGUGUGCCAGCAGUGUGUAGGGAUUUACUCCUGAAGCAUAGUCUGGUUGCAGAGAAAUGGGGGUAGCGACUGUUUAUCAAAAACAUAGCACUACGCAAAAUCGUAAGAUGAAGUAUGUGGUGUGACGCCUGCCCGGUGCUGGAAGGUUAAGAGGAGGUGUUAGCGCAAGCGAAGCGUCGAAUUGAAGCCCCAGUAAACGGCGGCCGUAACUAUAACGGUCCUAAGGUAGCGAAAUUCCUUGUCGGGUAAGUUCCGACCUGCACGAAUGGCGUAACGACUUCCCCGCUGUCUCAACAAUGUGCUCAGCGAAUUUGAAAACGGUGUGCAGAUGCACCGUACCCGCAGCAAGACGGAAAGACCCCAUGAACCUUUACUAUAGCUUGACACUGUUAUUCGAAUUGUACUGUGUAGCAUAGGUGGGAGACUUUGAAGUGAUGACGCUAGUUGUCAUGGAGUCGUCGGUGAAAUACCACCCUGUGCAAUUUGGAUAUCUAACCUAGCACCCUUAUCGGGUGUGGGGACCGUGUCUGGUGGGUAGUUUGACUGGGGCGGUCGCCUCCCAAAGUGUAACGGAGGCGCGCAAAGGUUCGCUCAGACCGGAUGGAAAUCGGUCGUAGAGUGCAAAGGCAUAAGCGAGCUUAACUGCGAGAUUGACAGAUCAAGCAGAUACGAAAGUAGGCCUUAGUGACCCGGUGGCUCCGUAUGGAAGGGCCAUCGCUCAACGGAUAAAAGGUACUCUGGGGAUAACAGGCUGAUCUCCUCCAAGAGUUCACAUCGACGAGGAGGUUUGGCACCUCGAUGUCGGCUCAUCACAUCCUGGGGCUGAAGCAGGUCCCAAGGGUUUGGCUGUUCGCCAAUUAAAGUGGUACGCGAGCUGGGUUCAGAACGUCGUGAGACAGUUCGGUCCCUAUCUGCUGUGGGCGUAGGAAAUUUGACAGGAUCUGACCCUAGUACGAGAGGACCGGGUUGGACACACCUCUAGUGUACCAGUUGUUCUGCCAUGAGCAUCGCUGGGUAGCCACGUGUGGAAGGGAUAACCGCUGAAAGCAUCUAAGUGGGAAGCCUACCUGAAGAUUAGAUUUCCCUGGCUUUUGCCCUAAAGGUCCGUUCAAGACUAGGACGUUGAUAGGUUGGAGGUGGAAGUGUAGUAAUACAUGGAGCUGACCAAUACUAAUUGACCGUGAGGCUUAUUUAG